UAGCGAAACGGGGUUUUAUCCCCGUCAUCGGAGCGUGGCGGCUCCGGUCUGAUGAGCAGCCGAAU
rnacentral:hammerhead_ribozyme from 1 species